CUUCUUUGUUAAUCGUUCAAGUCAUUUUUCAUGCAAAAACAUUUCAUGAUUCCAACUUCUCAAAAGUGAAAAGUUCCUUUGAGUGUUUUCUAAUUAUUUUAAUGUAUUUUUAAAAAAUAUGUAUCGUUGGUUGAACAAAAGUCACAUUGUGAAAGUGUCACUGAGGGCUUUGGGUAAUUGUGAACAAUCAACCAAUUAAUGGAGAAAAUAAUCAGCAGAUUAAUGCAGAAUGAAAGUAAGCAGUUAGUUUCAGUCCGAUACAAAAUAGUUUGUUAAUAAUAAUCUAAAGAUAUAAUAUACAGUAUAACAGUCACAGGGGUAAUCUUUCUGCAUUAAGUCAUUUUACUUUUAUUUUUCUAAAACAGAUUCCUGAUUAUACUUACAUAUAUUUAUUUAAGCAACAUUUUCAAUUCAGGACUUUUACUUGUACCAUAUUUUUACCGUGUGGUAUUAGUACCUUGACUUAAGUAAAAGAUCUGAACACUUCCUCCACCGCUGGGAAUAAUUGUGAUGUUUUCACAGUUUGAAUUCACCCCUGUGUAUCUGGCGUGCAGCACCGAAUAACAACAGUCACUUCAUCCCCCCUCUCAGAGAUGGCGUGUGUCGGUGCUGCUCGGGCGGCUGGGGCCUAACGUGCACACAGAGAGGACGCCCCCCCCCCCCCCAUCAUCCCCGGAUUUGCUGCAUAUUCCUCGGGUGUCUCUUCUCACUGUGUCCUCCACCGCUGCUGCUGCUGCCUCCAAAGCUCCCCCCCACCUCCCUGUGCGGGUGUCUGGGAGUCGGGCCCUUGGGGGUGGAGGGAAUCAACAUCGUGCUUCGCUGGGGAGCUGUGCAGAAUUAGCUAUGCCCUGCCCAAGCAUCCUUUGACCGGCUGGAUUUCUCUAUUUCUAUCCGCCUGCGCACCGGAGGAUUACAUAGGAUGAAAAUCAGCAGUCAUGAUGCAAGGUAAAUGAUCUGGACUCUCCUUCUCCUCCUUUAUUUCCCAUGUUUGCGUUCUCCUCCUGCCCUCUUGUGUCCUGCUGGGGCCAUUAAAGCUCAUGAA
rnacentral:lncRNA from 1 species